rnacentral:rRNA from 1 species
UACGAAGGGGGCUAGCGUUGCUCGGAAUCACUGGGCGUAAAGGGUGCGUAGGCGGGUCUUAAGUCAGGGGUGAAAUCCCUGGAGCUCAACUCCAGAACUGCCUUUGAUACUGAAGAUCUUGAGUUCGGGAGAGGUGAGUGGAACUGCGAGUGUAGAGGUGAAAUUCGUAGAUAUUCGCAAGAACACCAGUGGCGAAGGCGGCUCACUGGCCCGAUACUGACGCUGAGGCACGAAAGCGUGGGGAGCAAACAGGGAAUUAAGAAUCGAUCCUAACGUACG